GCAAACAAAAUGCACACCAAACUUAAAGAUAGGAAGCAAACCAUAAAGCAGGAGCAAAUUUAAAACAGGGAUAUCAGAUAAAAAUGUUGUUUGUUUAGCAUAUCAAAUAAGGAGAGAGAGAAAACUAAAGGAGUUAACCCUCCACAUCUAUCAAGACAACUGGAGCACUGGGCCAGCAGCUCUUAUUAAAUAUCACCAGGGACAGCAAAGGUGAAACGCCUUUCAUCUAACGAGAUGAACAAGCCAGCACAGAUGUAACACGUACUGACUAACGAGGAACAGGGGACAACGUCACAGUAGUGUAUGAUCUGGAUGUGACUGACGUGUCACAGCGGGAGGAGAUUGUCAUUAUCCACGCCCUCAGAUACUGGACAGCGUCGCCAAGGAUACAAUGGAAGAAGCCACUGCUCCAAAACCGCCAUAAAAAAGCCAGACUAAGGUUUGCAACUGCACAAGGGGACAAAGAUCGUACUUUUUGGAGAUAUGACCUUUGGUCUAAUGAAA